rnacentral:misc_RNA from 1 species
GAAAUGCUAUAAGUAAUGUGAAUUGCAGAAUUCAGUGAAUCAUCGAAUCUUUGAACGCACCUUGCGCUCCUUGUUAUUCCUUGGAGCAUGCCUGUUUGAGUAUCAUGAAAUCUUCAAAGUAAAUCUUUUGUUAACUCAAUUGGUUUCUACUUUGGUAUUGGAGGUCUUUGCAGCUUCACACCUGCUCCUCUUUGUUCAUUAGCUGGAUCUCAGUGUUAUGCUUGGUUCCACUCGGCGUGAUAAGUUAUCUAUCGCUGAGGACACUGUAAAAGGUGGCCAAGGUAAAUGCAGAUGAACCGCUUCUAAUAGUCCAUUGACUUGGACAAUACUUUUAUGAUCUGAUCUCAAAUCAGGUAGGACUACCCGCUGAACUUAAGC